GACGAACGCUGGCGGCGUGCUUAACACAUGCAAGUCGAGCGGUAAGGCCCUUCGGGGUACACGAGCGGCGAACGGGUGAGUAACACGUGGGUGACCUGCCCUCCACUUCGGGAUAAGCCUGGGAAACUGGGUCUAAUACCGGAUAGGACCUUGGAACGCAUGUUUCUUGGUGGAAAGUUUUGUCGGUGGGGGAUGGGCCCGCGGUCUAUCAGCUUGUUGGUGGGGUGAUGGCCUACCAAGGCGACGACGGAUAGCCGGCCUGAGAGGGUGAUCGGCCACACUGGGACUGAGACACGGCCCAGACUCCUACGGGAGGCAGCAGUGGGGAAUCUUGCGCAAUGGGCGGAAGCCUGACGCAGCAACGCCGCGUGAGGGAUGACGGCCUUCGGGUUGUAAACCUCUUUCGCGAUCGACGAAGGUCAUGUUUGUGCAUGGCUGACGGUAGGUCGAGAAGAAGCACCGGCCAACUACGUGCCAGCAGCCG
rnacentral:rRNA from 1 species